UACCAGACUCCUACGGGAGGCAGCAGUGGGGAAUAUUGCACAAUGGGGGGAACCCUGAUGCAGCGACGCCGCGUGAGUGAAGAAGUAUUUCGGUAUGUAAAGCUCUAUCAGCAGGGAAGAAAAUGACGGUACCUGACUAAGAAGCCCCGGCUAACUACGUGCCAGCAGCCGCGGUAAUACGUAGGGGGCAAGCGUUAUCCGGAUUUACUGGGCGUAAAGGGAGCGCAGGCGGCGCGCCAAGUCUGAUGUGAAACCCCGGGGCUCAACCCCGGGCAUGCAUUGGAAACUGGCGGGCUGGAGUGCCGGAGAGGUAAGCGGAAUUCCUAGUGUAGCGGUGAAAUGCGUAGAUAUUAGGAGGAACACCAGUGGCGAAGGCGGCUUACUGGACGGCAACUGACGCUGAGGCUCGAAAGCGUGGGGAGCAAACAGGAUUAGAUACCCGGGUA
rnacentral:rRNA from 1 species